AACCCAUCUGAAGGCGACUGUGAUUCAUAUACAUUACAUUCAGCUAAAUUUCCUCUAAGUUUUUUACCAUAACUGUAUUUGAAGAAACCAUUCUUCCGUGCAUAAGAAGAAUGCCGAAUGUGGUGACGGAGGCGAUUAUUGAGUCUUAUGCGCUCAUGUUUUUGGUGAUGUCAGCGUUUUUUGUAUACUUUUGUGGCAUGGUCUGGGCAUUCUGCAACCCUAAACUCAGUAGCUUCGCUGAAGAAACCGAGUGCGACACGUGGAGUUUUUCACAAGUCCCUCUGCAACAAAUAUUUGCAGAUCCUGAGGUUGUGGAGACACAUACAACACACCACAUUUGACCAGCUCCGAAUGUCUGGAUCACUCGAGGUACAUCGCUUCGGGCUAUAGGCUAUUGUGGAUUCAUAUUUUGAAGUUUAUAGAAAACAGCACCAAAUUUGCUCCAGUCUCAUCAUGCCUGAAUGUAGCCUACCUGAACAUUGCAAGCGUACUGUAACCAGAGAACUCCAGCUACAACACAGAGGGAAGUGCUUCUCUGAUCUUCGUCGCCAUGGCAACCCAUCAAUACCUGCAACCCCACAUUGCUAACUCAUCCUGAGAAAUAGAGAAUUUACACACUCUGAAAGUACACACUGUAUUUUUUUUCUCCUGUUUUCCACACUUGUUCAAUACAGAAUUUGUUCUACUUUGUUAAUUUUUAUUUUUCAUGCUCAUAUAAAUGCUUUGGCAAUACUAAAAUACUGUACAAUUUGUCAUGCCAAUAAAUCUCAUUUGAAUUACAA